GAUGAACGCUGGCGGCGUGCCUAAUACAUGCAAGUCGAGCGAACAGACGAGGAGCUUGCUCCUCUGACGUUAGCGGCGGACGGGUGAGUAACACGUGGAUAACCUACCUAUAAGACUGGGAUAACUUCGGGAAACCGGAGCUAAUACCGGAUAAUAUAUUGAACCGCAUGGUUCAAUAGUGAAAGACGGUUUUGCUGUCACUUAUAGAUGGAUCCGCGCCGCAUUAGCUAGUUGGUAAGGUAACGGCUUACCAAGGCAACGAUGCGUAGCCGACCUGAGAGGGUGAUCCGGCCAACCGGAACUGAGAACACGUCCCGACUCCUAAGGGAAGCAGGCGUAGGGGAACCUUCCGCAAGGGGCGAAGGCUGAACGAACCAAGGCGGGUGGGUGAAGAAGGUUCUCCGGACCGAAAACCCUUUUAAUUGGGAAGAAAAAAAGGGUAAGGAAACUAUGCAGGUUUGGAGGGUACCAAACCAAAAAGCCACGGCUAACUACGG
rnacentral:rRNA from 1 species